rnacentral:pre_miRNA from 1 species
AAUAGAUGACACCGUUAACUUUUUCUCACAUGUUUGACCAUUCGUCUUAUUCAAAAAAUUUACGUAAUUAUAAUUUAUUUUAUCAUGAGUUGUUUUAUCAAUCAUAGUAUUUUAAGUAUGAUUUAAUUACGUAAAUUUUUUGAAUAAGACGAAUGGUCAAACAUGUGAGAAAAAGUCAACGGCGUCAUCUAUU